rnacentral:rRNA from 1 species
GCUGGUGGACCAGUUGUUCUGCCAAGGGCAUCGCUGGGUAGCUAUGUGCGGACGGGAUAAGUGCUGAAAGCAUCUAAGCAUGAAGCCCCCCUCAAGAUGAGAUUUCCCAUUCCGCAAGGAAGUAAGAUCCCUGAAAGAUGAUCAGGUUGAUAGGUCUGAGGUGGAAGUGUGGCGACACAUGGAGCUGACAGAUACUAAUCGAUCGAGGACUUAACCAU